GCCGAAGUGGCGGAAUGGUAGACGCGCUGGUCUCAAAAACCAGUGGGGGCAACCCCGUGUCAGUUCGAGUCUGACCUUCGGUACCA
rnacentral:tRNA from 4 species